UGCAAUAGCUUAUGUGUUGUGACAGAAUUGAUAUUGUUCAUCCCAUAUCCAUCAUUUCAAAGUACAGAGGAUCAGAAGCCCAAUUAAAUUAUGACUCCCCUCUCUCCCGCAUCUCUUUCUUUGUCUUCAGCUUCUUCCCUCUCUCUCUCGUGUCUCUUAUGGGUUUCUUUUAUUCCAGUUGGAUAUUUUUCUUGUUUAUCUUCUUCUUCCAAAACCGUGUUCUCUCUUCCUUCUUUCACAUCUUCUAGUAUUUUUUUUUUUCUCUUCUUUUUCUUCUUCUUCCCUCUUUCUUUCUCUUCUCUUUUCCUCUGUUUCCACUAGAUCUCUUCUCCUCAGUGCAUAUUCUAGGUUUUUUUCUCUUCUUUCUCUUCUCCUUCUCUCUCCCUACCAGUCUCUUCCUUCUUUCUUUUCUUCAGGUUUUUUUUCUCUUCUUGUUCCCUCUUUCUCUCUCCCCGUCUCUUUCUUUCUCUACUCCUUUCCUCUAUUUCUCCCGCGUCUCUUCUCUGCAUCUCACAUUCUAGGUUUUUUUCACUUCAUUCUCUUCUCGUUCUCUAUCCCGUGUCUCUUCCUUCUUUCUCUUCUUCGAGUUUGUUUUCUCUUCUUUCUCUUCUUCUUCCCUCUGUUUUUCCUGUAGCUCUUCUUCUUCCCUUUUCACUUCAAUCAAGUCCAGCAUGGCACUGCUUCGGUUAUAUCUCCAGCACAUUGAUUGACAUACAUGCUCAGCCACAAUCCAACCAGAUGAAGAGUUUAGUAAUGUGUAGAACAAUAAGAGGAAGGCCAGGUACCUUAAUUAGAAGGUGUGUUGGACGACCAUGGACCUUGUGGAUUGAACUCAAAAGGCAGCAACGAUAAUUUUUAAGGAGGUUGUCAGGCAUAGGCCUAAAUAUGCCAGAAGGCUGGGAGAGAUGGAGAUGCUCGAGUCGAGUAGGAGGUCGCAAUAUUGUUGUGCAUGUGGUGUUGAUGAUGGGGGCCCUCACAAGAUGGUUGUCGUUACAAAGCAGAACUUGAGGAACUAAAGAAACAUGUGCAGGACCUAUUGGAGAAAUAGGCUGAAUUUGAUAAGUUCAUGACGUAUAGCACCAUGUCACAGCAGCAAUAUGCAUAGAGAGAGUCUCCAAUAGAGACUCAUGGUGUUGAGUAAUCCAAAUGAUUCACCAUGAUGUUUUUUGUAUAAAACCAAGCUUUUGGAGAGGCCAUGGUGGGAAAUAUUUUGGAAACUGAUGGGUGACAACGUUGGAGAUGACCAGUUUAAAGUGAUGAAUGGAUCGAAUAUUGUGGGUCAAUCUCAAGGUAUAAAAAACGGUAAGUACAUAUUUUGGGACUAAGUAUUUGGGCCAUUUUGGUGGUGGCUGGAUCAUUUAUAUGAAACAAACAUUGAGGCCAUUUUUGUGAUGCUUAACAUGUAAGCUUCACUAAGUUUGAUGUGUAUAUAAAGGUUGUCUGAGCUUGUAUGUCAAUAUAAAAGUUGUCUCUCAUAUAUGUAUAGGCUUAGAGCAUACACCAUGAUUGUUGUAACAGGAACUUAGCAUGAAUGUCAAAUAUUUUGUGACAUGGCUUUAUGGUUGUA